GGGGUUGUGGCUCAGUGGUAGAGCGCUCACCUGGCACAUGUGAGACCAUGGGUUCGAUCCUCAGCACCA
rnacentral:tRNA from 1 species